ensembl:miRNA
UGUCCGGCAGAUGGGAACAUCUCUCUCUUUCUAAAUUUUGACAGAUUUCACACUUGCCACAUC